rnacentral:lncRNA from 1 species
UGUGGGCCCAAAAAGUUUAGGAACCCCUGUUUUAAGCAUCUUCAUAAUACUGGUAAACAAACUCUGCUUACACACAGAUUAGAAUAAGUAAGUACAUUUUUAUGAUAAAUAGUAUAAUAUUUGAUAUAGGAAUAUUAGAUAAUCCAAAUGUAUACUUUAUCAUAUUUAGAAUACAUUUAUGGAUAAUUUACUUAUAAAGCCUUUAUAAAUAAUUUGAAGUAUACCUUAAAGUUAACAUGGCGAAUAUCCAAAUGAGAUAUAGUAUUAUUGACUUAGUCUGAAUACUGUACUUUUUCUCUUAUUCGAACAAUGUUGCAAGAGAAGCAGGCAUUGGCGGGUGAUUGAUAACUUGAGAGAACCAAUAAAAAUGUGCAGAUGAACAACUGGCAACGCCCAAAACGGGAAUACGAAUGAGGAUGGCACUGGGCGUUUCUUUGUGGAAGGCUCGCGUCCCAGACAGAGAAAGAACAAGGAUGAGAUAUUGAAACAGGCAGAAAGUCUCCGUCUAGAAUUUCAAGAUCAAAUUAAGGCUGGCUGCAAAGCAGUUUCUAUCCCGAAGUGAUCUUGUAAAGUGCCAACCUCAGUGUGAGCACAUUUGCACCAACGCAACGAAGCUUGAACAGGCUCUAAGGCGGUACAUUGAAGUGAAGGGGUGGAGCGUCAUGAGCCUUCUGGCACACUAACUGAAGGAACCAGAGUAGCAGGUCUGAUCAGGGAACGCCAGCCACCCAUGGUAUAAAUCCUGGAGAGAGACACCUUGGACUGGGGGUGACAGAGGAGAGGAAAGGAGACUGAACCUACCCUCUACCCUUCCCUUGCCUGCUGCUGCAGUGUGGCAGUGCUAUUUUCAUUCUCACUCUGAUAUUCCACACCCAGGCAGGAACCAUGCCGGCCCUGUCCACCGGAUCUGGAAAUUACUCAGGUACCGAAUGAUGUGAUGAACCCUGUUUCCUUUCAGCUGUGCACACUAAACCCCGUUCCCUAUUCACGAUGCACAUCUUCCUACCUGUUUUAUCCCCUUUAUACACUGCACUAACUCUGUGCCCUUAAGGCUGUUCACACUCAGCCUUAAGGCUGUUCCAAUACGCCGGAUUCUAUCUCCACUGUAGGUUUUUACAAAGAAGCAUAGUUCAUACAGUUCCUUCAAAGUAUUCAUACCCCUUGAUUUAUUCCUUGAUUUAUUCCACAUUUUGACCUGUUGACCAUUUUUGACCUAUAGCCAAAAUGGAUUAAACAUUUUAUUUAUUAUGAAUUGUUCUAUCUCUCACCGUACACUCGAUACACCAUGAUGACAAAGUUAAAACGUGUUUUUAGAGAUGUUUGCUAAUUUAUGUCAAAUUAAAUACACAUGUCUAAUUUACAUAAGUAUUCACACCCUUG